CACCCCCCGCAUUCCGGGGACGCGCCCUGCUCUCCCCGAAAACGUUUCCGGCGUGGGCAUGCGUGUUGGUGCCCCCAGCCUUUCCUCCCGUCGCCUCCCGCACCCCCCUGACCCCACGGUAGCGCCCACUCCUCUCGCUCCCAGCUCAGCGCCCUGUCCCGCCGGUCCCCUUCCCAGGCGUGUCAGUCACACCCCCAGAACCCGUAGAUCGAUGUGCCUCAGUGCCUGUGCCCCACUCCGGGAUGCAUAAAUGCAGGCGACCCUUCCACACCUGUAUAGCAUAAAAACACGCGCUUGUGUGCAUAAACACGGCCGUUGACGUGCAUAAAAUAUACCAAGAUGAUGGCAGUUUCUUAUCUACCUGUACCACUGUACAGUUCUCAGAGCGUUGCCUCACCUGUGGUCUCAUUGGAUCCCCAGUGUUUAUGGAGUAAAUGGUAUCAGCUUUCCCAUUUUAUAGAUGAGGAAACAGAGGUGCAAAGAACUGAAAUGACGCCCAAGGUCAUGGACAUAUAUUCUGUUCAUAGGGCCACUUUCAAAUUUGAACCGACUGAUGAAGAUAUAAGAAAGAAACUCUGUGAAGGCAUAUUUAAAGUCCUUGUAAAGGAUGUCCCAACAACGUGUCAAGUGUCCUGCUUGGAAGUACUCCGUAUUCUCUCCAGAGACAAAAAGAUUUUAGUUCCUGUAACAACUAAGGAAAAUAUGCAGAUACUGCUGAGACUGGCCAAGCUAAAUGAGUCAGAUGAUUCUUUGGAGAAGGUGUCCGAGUUCCCCGUUAUUGUGGAAUCGUUAAAAUGUCUAUGUAACAUAGUGUUCAACAGUCAGAUGGCACAGCAGCUCAGCCUGGAACUUAAUCUUGCUGCAAAGCUCUGUAACCUCCUGAAAAAGUGCAAAGACCGAAAAUGUAUCAGUGACAUUAAGUGCUUUGACUUGCGCUUGCUCUUCCUCCUGUCACUUUUGCACACUGACAUCAGGUCACAAUUGCGCUAUGAGCUCCAGGGACUACCGCUGCUAACCCAGAUCUUGGAAAGUGCCUUUAGCAUCAAGUGGACCGAUGAGUAUGAAUCGGCCAUAGACCGUAAUGGACCUCCUCUCUCACCUCAGGAGACAGACUGUGCCAUUGAGGCGCUCAAAGCUCUCUUCAAUGUGACAGUAGACAGUUGGAAGGUGCACAAAGAGAGUGAUUCUCACCAGUUCCGUGUCAUGGCAGCUGUCCUUCGCCACUGUUUACUAAUCGUAGGUCCAACUGAAGACAAAACGGAAGAGCUGCACAGCAAUGCAGUCAACCUUUUAAGCAAUGUUCCGGUCUCUUGUUUGGAUGUUCUCAUUUGUCCAUUAACCCAUGAAGAAACAGCCCAAGAGGCAACGACUCUAGAUGAACUGCCCAGCAAUAAAACAGCUGAGAAAGAGACAGUUUUGAAAAGCAGUACUGUGGUAUACAAUGGUAUGAACAUGGAGGCCAUUCAUGUUUUACUCAGUUUUAUGGAGAAGAGAAUAGACAAGGGAAGCAGCUAUAGAGAGGGUCUAACUCCGGUUCUCAGCUUGUUAACAGAAUGUUCCCGAGCCCAUCGAAACAUCAGAAAAUUUCUGAAAGAUCAGGUUUUACCACCCUUGAGGGAUGUCACAAACCGACCAGAAGUUGGCUCGACUGUGAGAAACAAGCUGGUGCGCCUCAUGACACAUGUUGACCUUGGCGUCAAGCAAAUCGCUGCUGAAUUCCUUUUUGUCCUUUGCAAAGAGAGAGUGGAUAGCCUACUGAAAUACACUGGCUAUGGGAAUGCUGCAGGACUGUUGGCUGCCAGGGGCCUCUUGGCUGGAGGAAGAGGAGAUAAUUGGUACUCAGAGGACGAGGACACAGACACUGAAGAAUACAAAAAUGCAAAACCAAACAUUAAUCUUAUCACUGGUCAUUUAGAGGAACCAAUGCCAAACCCCAUAGAUGAAAUGACAGAAGAACAAAAAGAAUAUGAAGCCAUGAAACUUGUCAACAUGCUUGAUAAACUUUCCAGGAGAGCAGAUGUGAAGGACCCGCACCAGGAUGGUGGUUAGCAACAGUGGCCCGUGCCAAAGCACUUACCAAAGUGAUGACUAAGACCCUGUCAUUAAUUCCAUGUGUCAAUACUGCCCUGUAGUACACAGAGCAGACAAGAAAGAAGAGCCCUUGAAAACAAGGGAAUGAUUUUUGAGUCGUUACCAAGCUAAGUGGCAAGCGGGAAGCUGAAACUCGUAUAGUUGAACAUUCUUGGAGGCUUAUCUCUUCCCUGGCCAGAUGCCUGAUCAGAUGAGAAGCCCGCCAUGAUACUGUCACAGUGCCUAGAAUGGGCUCUUUAUCCAGUAGACAUCACUGUACUUUUUGAUGAUAACAAGGGCAGUCUUAACCUAUGUUAAGGCCUGUGUAUAGCAUUGAAGAGAGGAGUUGCUUAAGCCAAUGGGACUAAAACCUGAUGGAACAAUAACGCCUUUGGAGGAAGCACUCAACCAGUACUCGGUCAUCGAAGAGACCAGCUCUGACACAGACUAAAAGCAUCACCUGCGCAACUCUCAAUAUUGCUUUUAUCAGCAUCUUUUCUCUGUAGCUCCAGGGGAAUCUUUUCUCUAAAACAUUUAUGCCCUUGCUUUGGCUAGAAACACAUUAACUGGUUUACUCAUCGAGAAUCCAGCGUAUGUACGAGGUGAUCCUGUGUUUUUGCGAUACUGAGGCAUUUGUACCGAGCUGCAGUUAGCACAGGGGCUCGAGGCGGAACGGCACGGUCCUGUCCCGUCAGGGUGGCAUGGAGGACUUCACUCUGUGCAGCAGCCCCGGCUGAGUCUGCAGGUCUGCUCGCCAAGAUUCUUGGCAGCGGGUGGGGCCUGUCCUCCCUCAGGCUCACUCGUGUGAGCAGCCCCUUCUGAGCGUCUCCAGCCGCCGGAGGCGCAUGCGCGCAGGUCGAGCUGGUCGGAAAGGGCUGAGCAAGGAGCUCCCUGGAUCAGGACCCACUGAGUGGAAGCCAAGCAGCUGCUCUGGAAACCUAGCCCCACUCUUCACUUCAGUUUAUAUAAAUUCAGAAACACACGCACGCAGCGCCCCAGACUCACAGACCCAUCUCACCCCAGAUGUUUGUACGCCACUUAGCCGAAACUUCAGAAUACAUGCCCCCUACAGAGAGUUAAGGGUGAUGGUGUAGUUCCCAGGCAGCCACAAAUGCCUGUCCGUCCCUGACAUACCUGAGCACUAGCACCGCAGAGCUGAGCCGUCGCCUGUGCCAUGGCAUGGGGAGCAUGCACUAUGAGGCUCAGCUUUGGGUGCCAGGAGUCUCACCACCUCCGUCUGUAGAGGGAGUGGGACCCCCUGAGUCAUGGGGCCAGGGGUCAGCAGCACCCAUUUGUACAUAAAAGUCAUUCACCCAUCAUGGGGUUUAAACUGGGGUCAGCGUGUGUGUGUGUGUGUGUGUGUGUUCUACCUUUCUACCAGAUGUGAUCAGUUUAAUGGUAACUUUAUUUAUUUAAAAAAAGAAACACAGUUACUAUUAAACUGAUUAAGGCUGUGUAUUUUUACUGUUAGAAUUGGUCAUAUGAAGUAGAAACGCACUCAUGCAAUAGACAGUGGGCCUAGUAGAUUGAUGGCUAAAGUUGAAAAGGGUUGAUUUCCUUUUAUAUGUAUGUAUGUGUGUGUGUGUGUGUGUAUGUGGGGACACAUACACACACACACAUAGAUAAUGUGCUUAACCACUGCCUUUUAAAACUUUAAAUUAAAUAAAACAUUGGGGUUGAUUCAAUGUAGACAUCUGUGUGUUUCUUUGUAGGGGUGAGCAAUAAGUAGUUCACAGUUCAUGCUUUUCAGAAAUCCUUUUUCAUCCAUCAUCUCACUUGUCAUCAAAAUAGUCUUCAAGUACAGGGAAAGUGUGGGGGGAUUAGUGAAAAUGCCAGUUAUCCAGAAGUUUCUUCUCUGGCAAACCAGGAGUCAGGAAUUGGAUCGGUCUCCUGAUGCCUUUGACCUGCCAAAGAGAUGUCAAAAGUUUCUUGCAGUUUACUCAUAGAUCUUCAAGAACAUCAUGGUUAGCCUCUACUAAAAUUCAUACAUUUCUAGUAUGUUGCGGUAUCUGGCUUUCUAGCAAAAAAAAGAUCAAGUGAAAACCAGAUGUCAAAAUGAGAAACUAUUCAAGGCAUAGCAAAUCAGGACUAUCUACUUACUAAGGAAUACUGUAGUUGGCCCAGAAAAUACAUGCUUAAUUAUUUGGCCUAUAAACUAGGUCUCAUGAGGAAGACCGUUCUCAUGAUGAGUUCCUUAUUUAAAGGAAUAAGUUAAUCCUUACUUAAUAAGAAUAUUUUAUAAAAGACUGGAAAGAAUACACAUUUCAGAAUUUUCAUGCCAAAUAGUUGGAGAGAUUGUGGGUAACCCGUGUUUUAACCAACAGCAAGUAAAAUGGAACUUGGCAAUUAAUCAUUUUAAAUAAAUAAAUUAGGAAAAAAACAUAGGUAUCUAUUUCAUUCUACAAAUGCAUUUUUAAAGCAUUUUUUUAAUUUCUACAGUCACAGCUUUACUAUGCCUGUCAGCCUACGUAAGAAAAAUGCAUCUAGACAGUCCCUCCUGCUAGCUCUGUUUGAGCAGUCCAGUGCUCUGCUUGCAUUGAGUUCUGUUUCAUUUUACCUUUUUUAAAGAGGGAAGAUGCAGGGAGACUGCGAGUGGCCUCACUUGGCACAUGGAAAGAAUGCGUGCUCGCCAUGUGCAGGCCCCUCUGUCCACCCGGGAGCCUCUCCCGGAGCCCUGAGUUCCCGGGCCACGUGGCCAGCAGCACCCAGUUCUGGUGGCCUGAUCUCCACCCCCACGCCUUCGCUCCAUGCCGCACACCUGGACCACACUUGCCUCCCUGGCCUUGAAAUGCAGGGGACAGUGAGCUAGGGAGGUGGUCAUUCUCGGGCCCUCUGAAGCAAUAGCCAUUCCAACAGAACGAGGCCAAAGAGACCUCAGCAGGGAGGAACCUGGAGGGUAAGAGGAACUUGGUGAGCACCAGGUUUCAGGUGAAGACCUGGACGACUUUGGCGUAGGCUAGGGGCACAGGCUCCCCUGGCCAGCACACUUGGCGGGCCUUUGCCAUGGCACUCCUGACCUUGGGAGUGAAGGCUGGAAGAACAUGUGCUAAAAUAAGGCUUUGGGGUAGCAGGUGAGGAACAGUCACCAGGCAGUGACCAGCCCUCCAUAAAGGAGACUGCUGAAGCCACACGGGAGACCUCAAACCACCAUGGCCGAAGUGGUCUUCCCGCCGCCCGGAUGCUGUCCCUGCAUUGACUGCUCCAUUUAUAAAAGUAGCAUGUUCUCUGUGGAAAGCUCGGAAAGUGCAGAAAGCAAAAUUUGCCCCGAAUCCUACCACUCUUGAGAGAUCACUGUUAGGGUUUAGUGUGUUUCCUUCUUGUAUUUUUCUAUGCAUAUAUAAUUUAUUUUACUAUACGAUUGAGAUCAUGCUGUAUUUACAGAUUUGUAUCCUGCUUUCAUUAACAAUUCUGAGCAUU